rnacentral:rRNA from 1 species
UGGAGCAGAAGGACAAAAGCUUGCUUGAUCUUGAUUUUCAGUAUGAAUACAGAUUGUGAAAGC